rnacentral:rRNA from 1 species
GGAAUCUUCCACAAUGGGCGAAAGCCUGAUGGAGCAACGCCGCGUGUGUGAUGAAGGGUUUCGGCUCGUAAACACUGUUGUAAGAGAAGAAUGACAUUGAGAGUAACUGUUCAAUGUGUGACGGUAUCUUACCAGAAAGGAACGGCUAAAUACGUGCCAG